UACGUAGGGGGCGAGCGUUGUCCGGAUUCAUUGGGCGUAAAGAGCUCGUAGGCGGCUCAGUAAGUCGGCCGUGAAAUCCCGGAGCUCAACUCCGGGGGGCCGGUCGAUACUGCUGUGGCUAGGGUCCGGUAGAGGAGAGCGGAAUUCCCGGUGUAGCGGUGAAAUGCGCAGAUAUCGGGAGGAACACCCGUAGCGAAGGCGGCUCUCUGGGCCGGUACCGACGCUGAGGAGCGAAAGCUAGGGGA
rnacentral:rRNA from 1 species